GUUGUGUCAUGGCGCUCACCAGUCCUGUGAACAAGGUGCAGGAGGUGCGAGAUAUUUUACUUUUUUGGCUUUUCUGCAAACAUUAUCAAAGGUGACAUUCGAAUUGGUUCGUCGAAAGAUCGAUAAGCGUAUCAGGAAUGGAAUAAAUGCAAUAACUAUACUCUACUAGACGAAACUUCCUUGCUCUUACCCAGCGGCCCAAGCACGCUGAACGUUACAUCGAACCUGCGUUGUGACAAUACACCCUCGACUGCAUGCAAACUGUAUGCCACAAUUAGGUUUUCUGCCUAGACACUCCUCGUGAAAGAGGGAUGGGCAACCUGCACAUUGAAUAAUGCCAACAGCACCGGCACAAAGCAGAGGCUGCCUGCACAAGCAAUGAACAGCAUAAGCGAAGUCUUUUGGUCGUACUUGAGAAACAAUAAAAUUUAUUAUGAGAAA